rnacentral:ribozyme from 1 species
GGGGUAGGGCGUUAACUACUACCCCGCUUUAAUGCGGCCCGUUUUGAUACGGCAGGUUACAAGCCCUGGUAAACGCAGAGUAGAGC